CAAACCUGAGCCUCGUCUAAAAACUGGGCCUUCGUUCCUUGCCAGGUAAACUAGGUGCAUUGGGCCGUGAGUGACGCGUUGUGUAGCAAAUCCGCGCUCCUCUUUCCCAGCGGCGGCGGCAAAUGAGCCUAGACGCCGGCGGACAAGCCUAGAUCUGCAACCAUGGGGAUUGAGGAGGGGAGUAGAUGGCGGUCCGGCGAUGUGGGGGCGACGAGCCUACAUGGGAGAUGAUUGUAACAGUCGGCCCAUCCGCCUACGGGGUUCAUUCAUCUCGAGCAUCACACCAGAAGAUAGCGAGAGCUUGAUAAUGGCACCAAGGUCAGUGAACGCAGAAGAUGAAAACCCUGACCAGGUCAGGGGGCAACCCCCGAAGAAGACAAAGGCAAGCUGCCCAAACACCGGGAUCCACAUGGCAAUGACCAUGGAGCCCAUGACCCCAGCAAGGCCGAGCUGGAACUUGACCGUCAUGAGCCAUGAAAAGACGAGGUGGAGGCUGAGGCUGAGCAUGGCGAGGUAGGUGAUGAUGAUGUUCUUGCUCUGCGACUGCAGGUACAUCUGGAGCGUGAAGUUCCAGACGUAGGAGAACAUGACCGGGAUGUACCAAAGUGAGAUGGUGCCGGCCACAGCAGAGAUUUUGGGAUCCUGGCCAAGGGCGAUGAGGAGUGACUCAGUGAAGAGGUAGAUUGGAAGGAGGACGAUGGCGCAGACGAAGAGGAUGAUCCAUGAGCGCUGCAGGUAGAUGCCCAGCAUGUGGUACUGCUUGGCGCCGUAGGAUUGGCCGCACAGUGUCUCCAGUGCGCUCGCCAUGCCCAGCUGCAGUUUAUGACAAUGUCCAUGCAAUGUGUAGUUAGUUAAGCUGGCAGAGUGUAAUCUGGGCUGGUAUAUACUGAUAUACUUUUGAGGUUCUUAUGUAAUUCUGCGCUGUUGUCGUUUAUACAGGUUGAUUUCUGGUGAUAACAUCAGUGUGAUGUAGUGCACUGCACAGCAAAUAUUGUUCAGCUUGGGUCUUUUUUGGGUGGUCGGCCUAGAACGGAAGCAAGCUAGUGAAGCAAUUCAGUGAAGUUGUUCAUUUCAAUUUUGCAUGUUCUGCCAUGACUUGGUGCAAUGGACGGUGACUUUACAAUUGGCGGGUAUAUAAUGGCCGUGAUGAAUCAGUCACUGAUUUAA